GUUAAAUUAAAAUGGGACGCCGUUUCCACAAUUUUCAACGUUCCAAAUCCACCAAAGAUGACAACCAGAUAAUCAAAGUAAAAGAGACCUGUUACUGUUGAAGACAAUAUUUCCUGCCAGAUUGCAGAUACUUCAAAAGACAUAAACACUUCAUAUGUAAAAUCUUGUAUUUAUUGCCAUGAGUAUGUCAAUGAAAUUGCUGAACUAAAAAAACAAGUCGAAACAUUGAAAAAAGAAACUGCUGAAAAGGAAAU